GGCGGCGUGCUUAACACAUGCAAGUCGAGCGGAAAGGCCCUUCGGGGUACUCGAGCGGCGAACGGGUGAGUAACACGUGAGCAACCUGCCCUAGGCUUUGGGAUAACCCCGGGAAACCGGGGCUAAUACCGAAUAGGACUGGUGGCCGCAUGGCUGUUGGUGGAAAGUUUUUCGGCCUGGGAUGGGCUCGCGGCCUAUCAGCUUGUUGGUGGGGUGAUGGCCUACCAAGGCGACGACGGGUAGCCGGCCUGAGAGGGCGACCGGCCACACUGGGACUGAGACACGGCCCAGACUCCUACGGGAGGCAGCAGUGGGGAAUAUUGCACAAUGGGCGGAAGCCUGAUGCAGCGACGCCGCGUGAGGGAUGACGGCCUUCGGGUUGUAAACCUCUUUCAGCAGGGACGAAGCGUAAGUGACGGUACCUGCAGAAGAAGCGCCGGCCAACUACGUGCCAGCAGCCGCGGUAAGACGUAGGGCGCGAGCGUUGUCCGGAUUUAUUGGGCGUAAAGAGCUCGUAGGCGGCUUGUCGCGUCGACUGUGAAAACCCGCAGCUCAACUGCGGGCCUGCAGUCGAUACGGGCAGGCUAGAGUUCGGUAGGGGAGACUGGAAUUCCUGGUGUAGCGGUGAAAUGCGCAGAUAUCAGGAGGAACACCGGUGGCGAAGGCGGGUCUCUGGGCCGAUACUGACGCUGAGGAGCGAAAGCGUGGGGAGCGAACAGGAUUAGAUACCCUGGUAGUCCACGCUGUAAACGUUGGGCGCUAGGUGUGGGGGGCCUCUCCGGUUCCCUGUGCCGCAGCUAACGCAUUAAGCGCCCCGCCUGGGGAGUACGGCCGC
rnacentral:rRNA from 1 species